CUAGCUCAGUCGGUAGAGCAUGAGACUCU
rnacentral:piRNA from 6 species